rnacentral:rRNA from 1 species
ACGAACGCUGGCGGCGCGCCUAACACAUGCAAGUCGAACGGAGCUUAGAGAGCUUGCUUUUUAAGCUUAGUGGCGAACGGGUGAGUAACGCGUGAGUAACCUGCCCUAGAGUGGGGGACAACAGUUGGAAACGACUGCUAAUACCGCAUAAGCCCACGGUACCGCAUGGUACUGAGGGAAAAGGAUUUAUUCGCUUUAGGAUGGACUCGCGUCCAAUUAGCUAGUUGGUGAGGUAACGGCCCACCAAGGCGACGAUUGGUAGCCGGACUGAGAGGUUGAACGGCCACAUUGGGACUGAGACACGGCCCAGACUCCUACGGGAGGCAGCAGUGGGGGAUAUUGCACAAUGGGGGAAACCCUGAUGCAGCGACGCCGCGUGGAGGAAGAAGGUUUUCGGAUUGUAAACUCCUGUCGUUAGGGACGAUAAUGACGGUACCUAACAAGAAAGCACCGGCUAACUACGUGCCAGCAGCCGCGGUAAAACGUAGGGUGCAAGCGUUGUCCGGAAUUACUGGGUGUAAAGGGAGCGCAGGCGGGAAGACAAGUUGGAAGUGAAAACCAUGGGCUCAACCCAUGAAUUGCUUUCAAAACUGUUUUUCUUGAGUAGUGCAGAGGUAGAUGGAAUUCCCGGUGUAGCGGUGGAAUGCGUAGAUAUCGGGAGGAACACCAGUGGCGAAGGCGGUCUACUGGGCACCAACUGACGCUGAGGCUCGAAAGCAUGGGUAGCAAACAGGAUUAGAUACCCUGGUAGUCCAUGCCGUAAACGAUGAUUACUAGGUGUUGGGGGAUUGACCCCCUCAGUGCCGCAGUUAACACAAUAAGUAAUCCACCUGGGGAGUACGACCGCAAGGUUGAAACUCAAAGGAAUUGACGGGGGCCCGCACAAGCAGUGGAGUAUGUGGUUUAAUUCGAAGCAACGCGAAGAACCUUACCAAGGCUUGACAUAUACAGGAAUAUUUAAGAGAUUAAAUAGCUCUUCGGAGUCUGUAUACAGGUGGUGCAUGGUUGUCGUCAGCUCGUGCCGUGAGGUGUUGGGUUAAGUCCCGCAACGAGCGCAACCCCUGUCCUUAGUUGCCAGCAUGUAGAGAUGGGAACUCUAAGGAGACUGCCGUAGAUAAUACGGAGGAAGGUGGGGAUGACGUCAAAUCAUCAUGCCCUUUAUGUCCUGGGCUACACACGUACUACAAUGGCUGUAACAGAGAGAAGCAACACCGCGAGGUAGAGCGAAACUCCAAAAGCAGUCUCAGUUCGGAUUGAAGGCUGAAAUUCGCCUUCAUGAAGCCGGAAUUGCUAGUAAUGGCAGGUCAGCAUACUGCCGUGAAUACGUUCCCGGGCCUUGUACACACCGCCCGUCACACCAUGAGAGUUGGGAAUACCCGAAGCCUGUGAGCCAACUAAUUUAUUAGAGGCAGCAGUCGAAGGUAGAAUCAAUGAUUGGGGUG